AGGUUGCAACCCUCUUUUUUUUUUUCCUUUUCUUUUCAUAACCAUAUUCUAUUUUGAUUUUCCAUCUUUGAAGAGCAAAUAGUACUAUUGUUACUUCAUUCUUGCUCCAUCCAUUGUGAUAUAUUCAAGAAGUUUUUGUUUUUUGUUUUUUGUUUUUAGAUAAGCAAACACUUAUUUAUCAACCCUCUUCAAUUAUCGGUAUUAUUUAGUUCAAAUAAGCUUUGGAGUUAAGAAAUGGUGUUUUUAAUGAUGAUAGAUCUUGAAAGUUAGAAGGGUAAAGCUAAUUUGAGGUUAUUGUUACUUUGUUUGGGAUCAAGAUAUAACAUUAUUUUUAGUGCUUUUUGUAAAAUGAAAACUAAUUUAAAAGGUAUUUUAAACUAUUUAACUUAUCCAUUUCUCUUAUUUACAUCUACAACAAUUCAAUAAUCAACUCUCUACUCCACCUUUACAAGUCUAAUUUCAAUUACUUUGUUGCAAAACUAACAAAGAAAGAAGUUGACAAAACAUUAUUUUUUCUUAUUGAAAAAUUAAAUAUUCAUUCUACUUAAAAAUUUGUAAUUCUACUAUGAAAAAUGUGUAAUGUAGCACUUGAUAGAAGUGGUUCAUGUUGAUGAAAAGAGAUCAAUCCUUACCACAAAAUCUUGGGAAUUUAUUGACUUUUUUCAUAAUGUGGAGUGAGAAUACUUUGAAUUUGAUGUAUCGUCAAAGUGAUUAAUUGAUUUUGGAAUUUGGCCUUAAUAUGCUAGGUUAGUUUAAACAAUAAAGAAUUUGGAAAAAGAGAGUGCUCUCUCUACAUGCUGGGCGAAGCAUAUAAAAUCCCAAGAUUUUGUGUUAAGAAUUUUUUUUCAUUAGAAAAGACAAAAACCACCGCAUCAAAUAAUACAUUAUCAAUUUUCAUACUGAACAAAUAUAUUCAAGUAGAAAGAAUAAUGUAAUUUUUUAAUAGGAAUUUUUUUUUUACACAUACCAACCAUUUUGUUAGAAUUCUUCUUUUGUUAGCUUCGCAACAAAGCCGAUGAAGUUGUACUUGUAAUGAUUGAGCACAUAAUUGAGCAUUGAAUUGCUAAAGGUGUGAAUGGAGGAAAUACAUAAGUUAGAUGGUUUUGAAUAGCUAUUAAAUUUCUUUUUCAUUUUGACUAAAGUAUUAAAAAAAAAGUAUUGAUAGAUGAAAUGUAACCGUCUGCAAAGGAAUAACGAAGAAGUUUCAUCAUUCAUGUUAUGUGCGGGUGCGGGUGCAGACAAUGCAACGUUGAAGUAUUACUCGAAGCCAGAUGAGGAAUGGUGCAAGGAGUGCUUCUUAGUAUGUUUGGAGUCUCAAUCUUGUGAACAAAAUGGAAUCAUCAUAUGAGGAUAUUUGGCGCAAAACAAUGGAAUAAAAAUAAAUGAUGGAGACUCUUAAUCUGACUCAUCUCCCUCAAUCCCUUCACAAAUCUUCUUCUACCAUUUCAAAACCCUCACCGCAUUUCCUGAAGGGCCACUUGAGGCUUAUACUACUUGGAGAUCUUGAAGCAGCCAAAAUGAAGCACAUGCGGAGACAUAGUUUACACCAAACAGUCCAAAUGACAGCUUUUCCACCAACCCAGAUGACAACACUACCAACAAUAAAAGCGAUAGAGCCACCACCUUCUCCGAUGACAACACCACCAAUUGCAGUGCAAACGACAAAACCACCAAUUUUUUAGGCGACAACACCACCAAUAGUGCAAUCGAUAGAACCACUACCUUCUCCAGUGAUAGCACCACCAACUGCAGUGCAAGCGAAAAAACCACCACGGAAUCAAGCGACAACACUACAACAAUGCAAGUGAUAGAACCACCACCUUCCUAGGAGACACUCUCUCACUCUGAAGAAGGGGUGGAAGAUGAGUUAGAAAUUGCUAAAAAAAAGAAUUCUACAUAUUGGGAUGUAAAAGUUAUUAGUAUGUAAUCUAAUGUAUAAUUAUAUUUAUAUAAUUUAAUUGGUUUA